AGCGCUUCGGUCCCGAGUCGGCCCUCUCCCAGGGAGGGCUCCGAGUCGACCUGGGACUGACCAGGCCCUCGAUGUCGCCGGAACCCGCCCUGGGUGGCCGCACCGACCUAGGGCCCCGUCGUCCCUAAGUCCCUGGGAGGUGUCCAGGGCCUGCUUGUAUGCAGACCCAGAUGAAUUUAAUUCUGUGUUGCACAGGACUGGGCUUGAGAUUUGGGAGGAGCUGAAGCCUCACUCCGAUCCUCUUCCUCACCCUGAUUGUCAUCUAUCAUUUUGAUCCCACUGGUUUCUCAGUGGCUGAGUUUUGAGUUUCACUCCCUCUCUGUGUGUGCCGGCUGCCUGAGGGUGUCACACCACAAAGCUCCUUCUCAGGGCUUUUGGAACAAGGAACACUCCAUCUUACCCCCACUCCCGGGAGGCCUUUGAGGAGCAAGUUUGAAACACUCUGGAUCCCAAACGCCUGGUAGGAGGGCAGAUUUUUGGAGGGAGACUUUUCAGUUUGAUGGGCCUCCAACCACCGAGUGCCAGCAGUGUCGCCCCCACUUCCAGUGACAACCACAAACUCCGCCAUUUCUGGGUUCUCUGUAAGCUUAGGUCCAUCCUACUGGAGAACAGCAAACUGACCUGAACAGCCCUCUGGCUUGGAGAUGGGACAGGAUGGGUUUCUGCACAAUUCCCAGGAGCAGGAAUGCCAUCAUCUCAAAGAUGUGCAUCCUUUCCUUGAUAACCUUCCCCCUGCAGGUUUUCAUGUCACUUGGAGAGUGGCAAGUGCUGUAGACCCUGGAAGUUGACUGCAAGGAGGGUCUCUCUGCCUGUUUCUGAAGUCCUUGAGUUGCAGGUUUGAACACGAAAGAAAAAGGGAAAGGGUGCUGGAGGCUCCAAGCAUUAAGGGGCUGUAACAGGGAGGUUGAGGACACCACGCUGGCGGUUCCUCCCACACCGCUGGAAUUGCAGGGAAGACCCAAACAAAGGUCAAUGCCAAGUUGGGCUGAGGGACUGCAGCUGCAGGUGAACCUGGCCAGGGCUCAAGACUGAUUGUGAGGCUGGUGUUGUCCUGGGUGUAUGGCUUCUUGGGGCAGGCAGGUGACACACGCUGCUCCUGGCUUAGUGUUUAUUUUCUUCCUUUAAAAAAAAAAUAGCUUUUAUUGAUCCC
rnacentral:lncRNA from 1 species